rnacentral:rRNA from 1 species
UACGUAGGGUGCGAGCGUUAAUCGGAAUUACUGGGCGUAAAGCGUGCGCAGGCGGUUUUGUAAGCCAGAUGUGAAAUCCCCGGGCUCAACCUGGGAAUUGCAUUUGUGACUGCACGGCUAGAGUGUGGCAGAGGGGGGUGGAAUUCCGCGUGUAGCAGUGAAAUGCGUAGAGAUGCGGAGGAACACCGAUGGCGAAGGCAGCCCCCUGGGUUGACACUGACGCUCAGGCACGAAAGGCGUGGG